rnacentral:rRNA from 1 species
UCCGUAGGUGAACCUGCGGAAGGAUCAUUAAACACAGAUAGUUCUCUACUGAUUUUGGGGGAGUCGAAAGCCCCGGUUUCAUCGCCGGAUUGCGAGUAAGCUCCCUUUCUCCAUCCUUGUCUUUUGAGUACUUAUGUUUCCUUGGUGGGCUCGCCCGCCAAUUGGACAAUCAUACAACCUUUUUAAUUUUCAUUCAGCGUCUAAAUAAUUAUAAUAAUUACAACUUUCAACAACGGAUCUCUUGGUUCUGGCAUCGAUGAAGAACGCAGCGAAAUGCGAUAAGUAGUGUGAAUUGCAGAAUUCAGUGAAUCAUCGAAUCUUUGAACGCACAUUGCGCCCCUUGGUAUUCCAUGGGGCAUGCCUGUUCGAGCGUCAUUUGUACCUUCAAGCUCUGCUUGGUGUUGGGUGUUUGUCCUUUCAUUAUGUUUGGACUCGCCUUAAAAUAAUUGGCAGCCAUUGUAUUGGUAUUGGAGCGCAGCACAAUAUUGCAGUUCCAGCUAAUCAACAGUGGCAUCCAUUAAGCUAUUUUUUAACACUUUUGACCUCGGAUCAGGUAGGGAUACCCGCUGAACUUAAGCAUAUCAAUAAGGCGGAGGAA